GGAGAGGUAUCGAAGCGGUCAUAACGGGGCGGUCUUGAAAACCGUUUGCCCAUUCGUGGGCACGUGGGUUCGAAUCCCAUCCUCUCCG
rnacentral:tRNA from 1 species